rnacentral:rRNA from 1 species
UGCGUAGAGAUCGGGUAUGAACAUCGGUGGCGAAAGCGCUCUACUGGACGGCAACUGACACUCAGGGACGAAAGCUAGGGGAGCGAAUGGUAUUAGAUACCCCAGUAGUCCUAGCCGUAAACGAUGCAUUCUAGGUGUAGCUUGUAUCGACUCUAGCUGCGCUGAAGCUAACGUGUUAAGAUUCCCGCCUGGUGAGUACGCACGCAAGUGUGAAACUCAAAGGAAUUGAUGGGGGUCCGCACAAGCGGUGGAGUAUGUGGUUUAAUUCGAUGCAACGCGAAGAACCUUACCAGGGCUUGACAUGUCAGGAAUCCCGGUGAAAGCUGGGAGUGCCUUCGGGAGCCGGAACACAGGUGGUGCAUGGCAGUCGUCAGCUCGUGUCGUGAGAUGUUGGGUUAAGUCCCGCAACGAGCGCAACCCUUGUCUUUAGUGGCCAGCAUUAAUUUGGGCACUCUAGAGAGACCGCCGGUGACAAACCGGAGGAAGGUGGGGAGGACGUCAAGUCAGCAUGCCCCUUACGCUCUGGGCGACACACGUACUACAAUGGUCGGGACAGAGGGCAGGGAACCUGCGAAGGCAAGUUAAUCCCAGCAAACUCGGCCUCAGUUCAGAUCGCAGGCUGCAACUCGCCCGCGUGAAGGAGGAAUCGUUAGUAAUCGCCGGUCAGAAUACGGCGGUGAAUCCCUUUCCGGGCCUUGUACA